rnacentral:rRNA from 1 species
UGAUGUCAAGUCAGCAUGGCCUUUAUAUCCUGGCUACACACACGCUACAAUGGCCAACACAAUAGGUUGCUAAGCCGCGAGGUGGCGCCAAUCCAUAAAGUUGGUCUCAGUUCAGAUUGUAGGCUGCAACCCGCCUGCAUGAAGAUGGAGUUGCUAGUAACCGCAGGUCAGCUAUACUGCGGUGAAUACGUUCCCGGGGCUU